rnacentral:rRNA from 1 species
UACGUAGGGGGCAAGCGUUGUCCGGAAUCAUUGGGCGUAAAGCGCGUGUAGGCGGCCCGGUAAGUCCGCUGUGAAAGUCCAGGGCUCAACCCUGGGAUGCCGGUGGAUACUGUCGGGCUCGAGUCCGGAAGAGGAGUGUGGAAUUCCUGGUGUAGCGGUGAAAUGCGCAGAUAUCAGGAGGAACACCAAUGGCGAAGGCAGCACUCUGGGACGUGACUGACGCUGAGACGCGAAAGCGUGGGGGAGCGAACAGG